AUCAGAAGUGCGAAUGCUGACAUGAGUAACGACAAAGGGGGUGAAAAACCUCCUCGCCGGAAGACCAAGGGUUCCUGUCCAACGUUAAUCGGGGCAGGGUGAGUCGACCCCUAAGGUGAGGCCGAAAGGCGUAAUCGAUGGGAAACGGGUUAAUAUUCCCGUACUUCUGACUAUUGCGAUGGGGGGACGGAGAAGGCUAGGUGGGCCAGGCGACGGUUGUCCUGGUUCAAGUGCGUAGGCUUGAGAGUUAGGUAAAUCCGGCUCUCUUUAAGGCUGAGACACGACGUCGAGCUGCUACGGCAGUGAAGUCAUUGAUGCCAUGCUUCCAGGAAAAGCCUCUAAGCUUCAGAUAGUCAGGAAUCGUACCCCAAACCGACACAGGUGGUCGGGUAGAGAAUACCAAGGCGCUUGAGAGAACUCGGGUGAAGGAACUAGGCAAAAUGGUACCGUAACUUCGGGAGAAGGUACGCUCUUGAUGGUGAAGUCCCUCGCGGAUGGAGCUGACGAGAGUCGCAGAUACCAGGUGGCUGCAACUGUUUAUUAAAAACACAGCACUGUGCAAAAUCGCAAGAUGACGUAUACGGUGUGACGCCUGCCCGGUGCCGGAAGGUUAAUUGAUGGGGUUAGCGCAAGCGAAGCUCUUGAUCGAAGCCCCGGUAAACGGCGGCCGUAACUAUAACGGUCCUAAGGUAGCGAAAUUCCUUGUCGGGUAAGUUCCGACCUGCACGAAUGGCGUAAUGAUGGCCACGCUGUCUCCACCCGAGACUCAGUGAAAUUGAAAUCGCUGUGAAGAUGCAGUGUACCCGCGGCUAGACGGAAAGACCCCGUGAACCUUUACUACAGCUUGGCACUGAACAUUGAACCUACAUGUGUAGGAUAGGUGGGAGGCUAUGAAGACGUGACGCCAGUUGCGUUGGAGCCGUCCUUGAAAUACCACCCUUGUAUGUUUGAUGUUCUAACUUAGACCCAUUAUCUGGGUUGAGGACAGUGCCUGGUGGGUAGUUUGACUGGGGCGGUCUCCUCCCAAAGAGUAACGGAGGAGCACGAAGGUGGGCUAAUCACGGUUGGACAUCGUGAGGUUAGUGCAAUGGCAUAAGCCCGCUUAACUGCGAGAAUGACGGUUCGAGCAGGUGCGAAAGCAGGUCAUAGUGAUCCGGUGGUUCUGUAUGGAAGGGCCAUCGCUCAACGGAUAAAAGGUACUCCGGGGAUAACAGGCUGAUACCGCCCAAGAGUUCAUAUCGACGGCGGUGUUUGGCACCUCGAUGUCGGCUCAUCACAUCCUGGGGCUGAAGUCGGUCCCAAGGGUAUGGCUGUUCGCCAUUUAAAGUGGUACGCGAGCUGGGUUUAGAACGUCGUGAGACAGUUCGGUCCCUAUCUGCCGUGGGCGUUGGAAGAUUGAAGGGGGCUGCUCCUAGUACGAGAGGACCGGAGUGGACGAACCUCUGGUGUUCGGGUUGUGUCGCCAGACGCAUUGCCCGGUAGCUAAGUUCGGAAUUGAUAAGCGCUGAAAGCAUCUAAGCGCGAAGCGAGC
rnacentral:rRNA from 1 species